UACGUAGGGCGCAAGCGUUGUCCGGAAUUAUUGGGCGUAAAGAGCUCGUAGGCGGCUUGUCACGUCGGGUGUGAAAGCCCGGGGCUUAACCCCGGGUCUGCAUUCGAUACGGGCAGGCUAGAGUGUGGUAGGGGGAGAUCGGAAUUCCUGGUGUAGCGGUGAAAUGCGCAGAUAUCAGGAGGAACACCGGUGGCGAAGGCGGAUCUCUGGGCCAUUACUGACGCUGAGGAGCGAAAGCGUGGGGAGCAAACAGG
rnacentral:rRNA from 1 species